rnacentral:rRNA from 1 species
UACGAGGGGGGCGAGCGUUGUUCGGAAUUAUUGGGCGUAAAGGGCGCGUAGGCGGUUUUAUAAGUCUUGUGUGAAAUCUUCGGGCUCAACUCGAAGUCUGCACGAGAAACUAUCUGGCUUGAGUGUGGGAGAGGUGAGUGGAAUUCCUGGUGUAGCGGUGAAAUGCGUAGAUAUCAGGAGGAACACCUGUGGCGAAAGCGGCUCACUGGACCACAACUGACGCUGAGGCGCGAAAGCUAGGGGAGCAAACAGG